UGGAAGAACAUUGUGCUGUAACAUGUACUGUAGCUUUAAGGGGAUAACUUUAUGUGUACAAUAUGUCGACAAGAUGACGGGCCAAUUUGCAUAUCGGUGUUUCACCCUUCAGGUCUUUCUUGUAUAGUAGUGUGUAAUGUUUACGUGUGUGUGUGUGUUGGCUGUGGCCUAUGUGGAGUGCUUGAGGCCUGCCUGCCUGCCUGCCUUCCUUCCACCCUCCUCCCUCCCUACCUCCCAGCCUGCCUGCCUGCCUACAGAGGAAGAGAAAAGCCGCCGAUGCAACAAGUCCUCCAUUGACUCCGCUUUGUUAAGCGAUCUUGCUGAAGUCGCCCCUGGGUGUCCUCCAGUUCAAGCUCCUGAGCACUGAGAAGAAGAAAAUGAGAUGACCUCUACUGGCUGAAGAUGGGAAGUUCCAUCAUUUAAACCAGGACUGAUAGAGCUGGGCAUGGUGGCCUUCAUCUGCCUGAGAGUCUCCUAGGAGCGAGGAGACAAAACCACUCCUCUGUCCUCCACAUCUCUUUGUUUCUCUCCGACCUCCUCCAGUUGUCGCUGAAUCACCUGGAUGGAGCACACAUUGGUGAGAUAUCAGUCAAAAAAAAGGUAAAUGACCAUGCUGUGUUUCGGUCCAAUGUGGCACCCAGCUGAUGAGGAGGUUGAUGUACGGACAAAAGGAAGUGAGGGACCAGAUCAUUACAAAACAAACAGUCUAAAAUAAAAAUGUAGAACUUAAAAGAAAGAUGUACUCACUUGCUCUGAUCUUAUGUUUCCAGCAAUGACGUUGUUUGGUUUUACAGUGACCUGCAGAAAAGUAUGCAAAAAAACAAACAAACUUUGAGACAAAAAACAACAAACUGUAGACUUUUUCCUUAAUCCUUCAAUAUAUUGUAAUUUUGUUAUUGUUUUACAUGCUUUGUGCCUAUAAAUAAAAUAUACGGUGCUCAUUCUUGACCUCUCAGCCAUACCGACCUUCGGCGCUGUCCUCCUUUCCCCCAUUGGGCGCCAUUGCAUCCUGUGCUGCAGGUUUCAAAUUGCAGUGAGCAUUCAGUUUUUCCACAGUCAUGUUUGCGUCUCCAAGAUCACUUGUUAGACUUCUAUCUGCAUGUUCCGAAUGAAUUUUGAAUUGUCGGUCUGAAAAUGAGAAAAGUAAGUAGGUAGGGAGUGUGAAUUGGCACUAAAGUACAAUGAGGAUGAACUGUUGUAGCCUCCUGUCUCAAUGAAAAAACCUUUUAUAGGUUACUAGUUACUGCACAUAUACAGUGCAUAUAUAUAGUAUAUAGUAAAUAUAGUAUGACUCUAGAGCAGGGGUGGGCAAACCUUCUGACUCGUGGGACACAUUGGAUUAAGAAAUUUGGGCAAAUUAGACAAAAAAACCAGCAUGCCUUGCGGCAAG